rnacentral:misc_RNA from 1 species
UCUCCGUAGGUGAACCUGCGGAGGGAUCAUUGAAAUCUAUUGAUCUAUUUCGUCCGGUGACUUUGCUGUAUGCCAGCCCAGGGCUUUCACUUCGAGUGAGAGGUCUCCCGACCGUUGGGAAGGUUGGGUCAGUCUGCCUUGGGUCCCAGUGUUCCAGGCCUGGUCUUGUACCAGGUCUGGUCGCUGGAGCCGAUCACUCGGCCGGCCUAAAUCCUGUUUUUUGACCUUUGACCAGACUAGCUGAAGCCGUGAUCUGAGAUCACUCCAAACAAGAUACAACUCUCAACAACGGAUAUCUUGGCUCCCGCAUCGAUGAAGAACGCAGC